rnacentral:rRNA from 1 species
UUGGAGGGCAAGUCUGGUGCCAGCAGCCGCGGUAAUUCCAGCUCCAAUAGCGUAUAUUAAAGUUGUUGCAGUUAAAAAGCUCGUAGUUGAAUUUCGGGAUCAAUUUAUCGGUCGUGCCUACGGUAUGAACUGGUACAAUUGGUUUCUCCCUUCUGACGAAGCAUGAUGUCAUUAAUUUGGUGUCGUGGGGAAUCAGGACUGUUACUUUGAAAAAAUUAGAGUGUUUAAAGCAAGCAUUAGCUUGAAUACAUUAGCAUGGAAUAAUGAAAUAGGACGUUUGAUCCUAUUUCGUUGGUUUCUAGGAUCGACGUAAUGAUUAAUAGGGAUAGUUGGGGGCAUUAGUAUUCAAUUGUCAGAGGUGAAAUUCUUGGAUUUACUGAAGACUAACUACUGCGAAAGCAUUUGCCAAGGAUGUUUUCAUUAAUCAAGAACGAAAGUUAGGGGAUCGAAGGCGAUCAGAUACCGUCGUAGUCUUAACCAUAAACUAUGCCGACUAGGGAUCGGAUGAUGUUAAUUUUUUAAUGACUCAUUCGGCGCCUUACGGGAAAC